rnacentral:rRNA from 1 species
GACGAACGCUGGCGGCGUGCUUAACACAUGCAAGUCGAACGGAAAGGCCCUGCUUUUGUGGGGUGCUCGAGUGGCGAACGGGUGAGUAACACGUGAGUAACCUGCCCUUGACUUUGGGAUAACUUCAGGAAACUGGGGCUAAUACCGGAUAGGAGCUCCUGCUGCAUGGUGGGGGUUGGAAAGUUUCGGCGGUUGGGGAUGGACUCGCGGCUUAUCAGCUUGUUGGUGGGGUAGUGGCUUACCAAGGCUUUGACGGGUAGCCGGCCUGAGAGGGUGACCGGCCACAAUGGGACUGAGAGACGGCCCAGACGCCUACGGGAGGCAGAAGUGGGGAAUAUUGCACAAUGGGCGGAAGCCUGAUGCAGCAACGCCGCGUGCGGGAUGACGGCCUUCGGGUUGUAAACCGCUGUCGCCUGUGACGAAGCGUGAGUGACGGUAAUGGGUAAAGAAGCACCGGCUAACUACGUG